rnacentral:rRNA from 1 species
ACUACGGGUGGCUGCAGUGAGGAAUAUUGGUCAAUGGGCGCGAGCCUGAACCAGCCAAGUAGCGUGAAGGAUGACUGCCCUACGGGUUGUAAACUUCUUUUAUAAAGGAAUAAAGUGAGGCACGUGUGCCUUUUUGUAUGUACUUUAUGAAUAAGGAUCGGCUAACUCCGUGCCAGCAGACGCGGGAAUACGGAGGAUCCGAGCGUUAUCCGGAUUUCUUGGGUGUAAAGGGAGCGUAGAUGGGUUGUUAAGUAAGUUGUGAAAGUUUGCGGUUCAACCGGAAAAUUGCAAUUGAUACUGGCAGUCUUGAGUGCAGUAGAGGUAGGCGGAAUUCGUGGUGUAGCGGUGAAAUGCUUAGAUAUCACGAGGAACUCCGAUGGCGAAGGCGGCUUACUAGACUGCCACUGACAUUGAUGCUCGAAAGUGUGGGUAGCAAACAGGAUUAGAUACCCGGGUAGUC